AGUUGCUUUUAUUCUGCUCCCUGCUCGGUGCUGCUGCACCGUGGAAGCUGCAGAGCUUGUGCAGCCGACUCUGAUCUGCUCAAGGACGAGGUGGUAGCAGAGAGACGAUGUCCCAGCGUGCUUAGGAGGCCCAUGAGUGUGCCCAACCAGCAGGGUAGCAGAUUGCCUGGUGGCUUUGGGCUGCCAGAAUGCAGCUGGAGGAGGAGCAGAAACUGCAUCUAGAGCACACGCUGGCCUGGCUGAGGAGAGAACUGUAUCUCCAUAACUGCGACUGGUGCUGGCAUUUUACUGAUCUUUGACAGCAAGGAGUUCCAUCUGAUAUCCAGUGGGGACACAGGAAAUGCAGAUCCCAGCUGAAUCCAUGACCAAGGCAGGAAAUGUUCAAGUUAUUGCACUGGAAACCCAUGCGGAAGGAAGGACAAGUACCCCAUGCCAGGAACCAGUCAUCCCCCAUAAGGAAAUGCAACCUUUGAUCUGCCACGCUGCAGGUGCUGUAAGCACCCGGCAUGAUCCCCUGCCCAGUGUUCCUGCCAGUUAGAUGUUUGCUGGUUGACACAGCACCUCUGAGUCUCCUCAUCAAGCUAUAUUGAAUUCCCUACAUCAAUUCUUCCAGCCCACGUUUCCCUUCUACAAAUUGCCUUCUGUUUCUUGGUACAUUCUACGGGAGGUUCCCAGAACUGCACUGGGUUCUGUUCUCACACUGGUGUAACGUUGAUGUAAAUGAGAAAACAAGGCUCACUGUGUCUAAAUCAGACCAUUCAAAGUCCUCGGGCUGAAAGUAAAAACCCCUAUCUCUUGAAAUGUUUGCAAGAAACUAAAUUAUAUCAUCAACAUAAGAGAGACACGGUAGGCAAGGUAAUAACUUUUAUGGGACCAACUUCUGUUGGUGAGGGAGAAGCUUUUGAACUUUUGAGAUAGUACUCAGCGAGUCACAGCUAAAUACAAGGUGGAACAGAUAAGGGGUUAACAUAUGUUGCAAGGGACCAUUCAAAGUGAAGUGAGCAGCUAACACCUCUACAGCUGUAGGACAAAGGAGGGUUAGUGGGUUACAGAGUGUUGUAAUGAGCCAUAAAUCCAGUGUCUUUAUUAUUUUUGUGAUUUUUGGUGUCUAGCACAGGUAUGAA